AUUGAACGCUGGCGGCAGGCCUAACACAUGCAAGUCGAACGAGUGGCGGACGGGUGAGUAAUGUCUUGGAAACUUCCCGGUGGAUGGGGAUAACAACUGGAAAGGUAGCUAAUACCGCAUACUAUUGGAGCGGCCGAUAUCGGAUUAGCUAGUUGGGGGGGUAAUGGCUCACCAAGGAGACGAUCCGUAGCUGGUCUGUGAGGACGUCCAGCCACACGGGAACUGAGACACGGACCAGACUCCGACGGGAGGCAGCAGUGGGGAAGGUUGGACAAUGGGGGAAAGCCUGAUCCAGCCAUCCCGCGUGUGCGAAGAAGGCCUUCGGGUUGUAAAGCACUUUAGGCAGGAAAGCGGUACCUGCAGAAUAAGCACCGGCUAACUACGUGCCAGCAGCCGCGGUAAUUC
rnacentral:rRNA from 1 species